CUUUGCCUUGUUGCUUCCUUAUUCACCAUCUGAUAUGCCUGUUGGAGUGUUGGAAAGGGGUCUCUUUGUAGGACAUUUUGUCUCACUAUGACCCAUUAAGUACUGAUCAUAAACCUGGUUCUUAUCCUCCUUAGCUUGUUAACGGGUAAUCACAACAGCAUCCAAAUAUUUAUAUUCAUCCUACUCAUUAACAUCAAGUUCUUGCCACAUACUACAAAGUUCUGAAUAGUAUUGAGGCACUGUCAUACCUUCCGGUUUCAAUUCCUUAAUGUUCUUUAAUUCGUAAGUUUGAGCUUCAUUACCAGCUUCAGAGUAUGUAUCUUUGAGUGACUUCCAGAUUUCUGCAGCAGUCUUCAUAUACAUGUACCUUUAGCAGAACUUGGUACCAUGUGAUUAAUUAGAAAGGACCUCCCAAGGGAAUCCUCCAUAGUCAAUCUCGCAACAUCAACACCACCAGUUGUAGGCUUCUUCUUGUCCCCCGUAAGAUAUCCGCUACAAUCUCCUGAGGCAAUGGACAGAAGCAUAGAUUGUGCCCACAACAAGUAAUUUGUUCCAUCGAAUUUAACAAGACUCAAAGGGAAGGUUGGUGUUUCUGAAUUUCACGUUCCUAUACUAGUGUUGGUAUUAAAACUAGUGUUUGUGGAACUAUUCUCUCCUGUUGUAGACAUGUUGCUGGUGAAACAAAAAAAACUGCGAGAUCUUCAAAAAGGGUGAAUGACUCACCUAUAUCAUAGAUUCAAACAAAGCACCCUGGUGGUUUAUAUUUACC
rnacentral:lncRNA from 1 species